rnacentral:rRNA from 1 species
UUGACCUCGGAUCAGGUAGGGAUACCCGCUGAACUUAAGCAUAUCAAUAAGCGGAGGAAAAGAAACCAACAGGGAUUACCUCAGUAACGGCGAGUGAAGCGGUAAGAGCUCAAAUUUGAAAGCUGGCUCCUUCGGGGUCCGCAUUGUAAUUUGCAGAGGAUGUUUCGGGAGCAGCCCCCAUCUAAGUGUCCUGGAACGGACCGUCAUAGAGGGUGAGAAUCCCGUAUGGGAUGGGGUGUCUGCGCCCAUGUGAAACUCCUUCGACGAGUCGAGUUGUUUGGGAAUGCAGCUCUAAAUGGGUGGUAAAUUUCAUCUAAAGCUAAAUAUUGGCCGGAGACCGAUAGCGCACAAGUAGAGUGAUCGAAAGAUGAAAAGCACUUUGAAAAGAGAGUUAAAAAGCACGUGAAAUUGUUGAAAGGGAAGCGCUUGCGAUCAGACUCGCCUUGGGGGUUCAGCCGGCAUUCGUGCCGGUGUACUUCCCCCAGGGCGGGCCAGCGUCGGUUUGGGUGGCCGGUCAAAGGCCCUUGGAAUGUAACGCCUCUCGGGGCGUCUUAUAGCCAAGGGUGCCAUGCGGCCUACCUGGACCGAGGAACGCGCUCGGCU